GACGAACGCUGGCGGCGUGCUUAACACAUGCAAGUCGAACGGAAAGGCCCUGCUUUUGUGGGGUGCUCGAGUGGCGAACGGGUGUGUAACACGUGAGUAAUCUGCUUUUGACUUUGGGAUAACUUCAGGAAACUGGGGCUAAUACCGGAUAGGAGCUCACGCCGCAUUGUGGGGGGUGGAAAUUUUUGGCGGUUGGGGAUGGACUCGCGGCUUAUCAGCUUGUUGGUGGGGUAGUGGCUUACCAAGGCUUUGACGGGUAGCCGGCCUGAGAGGGUGACCGGCCACAUUGGGACUGAGAUACGGCCCAGACUCCUACGGGAGGCAGCAGUGGGGAAUAUUGCACAAUGGGCGGAAGCCUGAUGCAGCAACGCCGCGUGCGGGAUGACGGCCUUCGGGUUGUAAACCGCUUUCGCCAGUGACGAAGCGUGAGUGACGGUAAUGGGUAAAGAAGCACCGGCUAACUACGUG
rnacentral:rRNA from 1 species